UAAAUAGGAAAAUUUUAAAUGAACGUAAUUACCGAAGCUUGUAAGUACCUAUAUUUAUAGCUUGCUGGUUAAUAAACGUUCAAGUAAGAAUGGAAUUCAUGAAACAAUGAACACUGUGGUGAUGAACAUGGUAUUCUUUAUUUUCAUAAUACUUUUCGCAACUGGAAGUUGCUCAAAUUAUACAAAUCAAACGGAUGAGACGUCAUUUUCUAUAGAUACGAAUGAAACAGAUGCGAGAAAGCGGUACGGCUACGGGUUCUACAACCCUUGCACAGAAUAUGAGAAAACAUUCCACUGCAUGACUAACUGCAAAAGUCAGGGUUAUGAAGUAUACAGACUCGAUCGCAAAUGUAAAUGUACUUGUCAUGAGAUGAGAAGUACUCUUGCACUGCCCUACUACAAAUGGUUAACAACCGGUACUCCGAGGCGACUGCCGACGACAAGAAGCGUAAGGCUUUACGAUGUAGUAGGAACCUUGUCACCAGUGCCCACCGAACGAACGACAAUUUUCGAUAAUACUACUUGUAUAACUUUGCCUACACAGGGUAAUCAAACAGAAGCGGCAUCAAAUGCUGAGGAUGGAACGAACACUGAAAAUACUGAUACUGAUGAUCAGAUUGCCACUGAUGCUUAGUAUUUGCCUAUAAGUACGCUCAGGGCUGUUAUAUUUAAAUAACAAUAUAUCCUCAAAUGGAAAAUA